rnacentral:snoRNA from 1 species
UUGUAGAGAUAAGGGUCUCAUUUUUUUCCUCAUGGGGGCCCAGUGUGCAAUGGCUGCAAACAGCAGCUUCCUUGGUAGCGUAUGCAGCCUGUUUCUUGCAUGGGUUGCUCUAAGGGACCUUGGAGACAGGC